ACAUACGACCAUACCCACUGGAAAACUCGGGAUCCCGUCCGCUCUCCCAUAGAUAAGCCAGUGAGGGCUGGAGUAGUAGUCGGGUCGGUGACGACCGGCGAAUGCCCGGUGUUGUAUGUC
rnacentral:rRNA from 2 species